AUUGCUUAUAACCUUUUGGUUAUAAAUAAUUGUUAGUGGCAGACGGGUGAGUAAUGCGUAGGAAUCUACCUAGUAGUAUGGAAUAGCCAUUAGAAAUGAUGGGUAAUACUGUAUAAUCCCUGCGGGGGAAAGAUUUAUCGCUAUUAGAUGAGCCUACGUUAGAUUAGCUAGUUGGUAAGGUAAUGGCUUACCAAGGCUAUGAUCUAUAGCUGGUCUGAGAGGACGAUCAGCCACACUGGAACUGAGAUACGGUCCAGACUCCUACGGGAGGCAGCAGUGGGGAAUAUUGGACAAUGGGCGAAAGCCUGAUCCAGCUAUGCCGCGUGAGUGAAGAAGGCCUUCGGGUUGUAAAACUCUUUCAAUAGGGAAGAUAAUGACGGUA
rnacentral:rRNA from 1 species